rnacentral:rRNA from 1 species
GAUGAACGCUGGCGGCGUGCUUAACACAUGCAAGUCGAACGGAAAGGCCACAGCUUGCUGUGGUACUCGAGUGGCGAACGGGUGAGUAACACGUGGGUGAUCUGCCCUGUACUUCGGGAUAAGCUUGGGAAACUGGGUCUAAUACCGGAUAGGAAUCACAUGUGGGUGUGUGGUUGGAAAGCUUUUGCGGUAUGGGAUGAGCUCGCGGCCUAUCAGCUUGUUGGUGGGGUAAUGGCCUACCAAGGCGUCGACGGGUAGCCGGCCUGAGAGGGUGUACGGCCACAUUGGGACUGAGAUACGGCCCAGACUCCUACGGGAGGCAGCAGUGGGGAAUAUUGCACAAUGGGCGCAAGCCUGAUGCGGCGACGCCGCGUGGGGGAUGACGGCCUUCGGGUUGUAAACUCCUUUCGUCAGGGACGAAGCGAAAGUGACGGUACCUGGAUAAGAAGCACCGGCUAACUACGU